CCUACGGGUGGCAGCAGUAGGGAAUCUUUCACAAUGGGCGAAAGCCUGAUGGAGCAACGCCGCGUGCAGGAUGAAGGCCUUCGGGUUGUAAACUGCUUUUAUAAGCGAGGAAUAUGAUGGUAACUUAUGAAUAAGGAUCGGCUAACUACGUGCCAGCAGCAGCGGUCAUACGUAGGAUCCGAGCAUUAUCCGGAGUGACUGGGUGUAAAGAGUUGCGUAGGUGGCAUAAUAAGUAGCUAGUGAAAUCUGGUGGCUCAACCAUUCAGACUAUUAGCUAAACUGUUAAGCUCGAGACCGUUAGGGGUAACUGGAAUUUCUAGUGUAGGAGUGAAAUCCGUAGAUAUUAGAAGGAACACCGAUAGCGUAGGCAGGUUGCUGGGACGGUUCUGACACUAAGGCACGAAAGCGUAGGGAGCAAACGGGAUUAGAUACCCUAGUAGUC
rnacentral:rRNA from 1 species